UACAGAGGGGGCGAGCGUUGUUCGGAAUUACUGGGCGUAAAGGGCGCGUAGGCGGCCUUCUAAGUCGAACGUGAAAUCCCUGGGCUCAACCCAGGAACUGCGUCCGAUACUGGAAGGCUUGAAUCCGGGAGAGGGAUGCGGAAUUCCAGGUGUAGCGGUGAAAUGCGUAGAUAUCUGGAGGAACACCGGUGGCGAAGGCGGCAUCCUGGACCGGUAUUGACGCUGAGGCGCGAAAGCCAGGGGAGCAAACGGG
rnacentral:rRNA from 1 species